rnacentral:rRNA from 2 species
AGCUCCAAUAGCGUAUAUUAAAGUUGUUGCAGUUAAAAAGCUCGUAGUUGAACUUUGGGCUUGGAGAAUCGGUCCAACUUUGUUGUGUACUGUCUUCUCCAGGUCUUUCCUUCUGGUUCUCAUUUGGGGUUUACUCCAUUUGUUGAUCCAGGAUUUUUACUUUGAAAAAAUUAGAGUGUUCAAAGCAGGCGUUUUGCUCGAAUAUAUUAGCAUGGAAUAAUAGAAUAGGACGAUUGGUUCUAUUUUGUUGGUUUCUAGGACCAUCGUAAUGAUUAAUAGGGACGGUCGGGGGCAUCAGUAUUCAGUUGUCAGAGGUGAAAUUCUUGGAUUUACUGAAGACUAACUACUGCGAAAGCAUUUGUCAAGGACGUUUUCA